rnacentral:sRNA from 1 species
AGCAUACGGCGGAUUGGGCUUGUGUGAGCAGAAAGGGGUGGAGUUCCUUGAAAUGUCAAUUUUGUUCGCUGGCUGCUUACAUAGCAUAUGAUGGUCCAUGAACUAAUGUCUGCUGAUUUCGUUAUGGCAUGCGUACCGUUGGUGGAUGGGCUAUGUGUUGGCUCUUCUGGACACUUGUGUAUUCCUGGUCCAUUUCAGGGUCCUCCGUCCUUCUCCGUCCUGGAUAACUCAAGGAUGAAGCUAACGAGUUGACUGCUAAGCGAGUCAGUACGGAGUACUCCGUAGUGAGCCAGCAGUGAGCCAGCAGUGAGCCAGCGAUGAGGUCAUCGACAGUUCUACCUGGGCAGGAUAAGGUUUUCACGUGGGCAACCACUGCUCCCUGAUUGGGCUGCGGCUUGAUCUUGCACCAUUGACCUGGAGCAAUUCUUCCCGUCCUGUACCUGGAUCUCGUCGCUGCCGAUGUCCCAUGUGUGUACAGAAGUAUUGUGUAUCCAUAUGUGUAUAUGCUAUCUUCCAUUUAAACUCCUGC